UACGUAGGGUGCGAGCGUUGUCCGGAAUUACUGGGCGUAAAGAGCUCGUAGGUGGUUUGUCGCGUUGUUCGUGAAAUGCCACAGCUUAACUGUGGGCGUGCGGGCGAUACGGGCAGACUGGAGUACUGCAGGGGAGACUGGAAUUCCUGAUGUAGCGGUGGAAUGCGCAGAUAUCAGGAGGAACACCGGUGGCGAAGGCGGGUCUCUGGGCAGUAACUGACGCUGAGGAGCGAAAGCGUGGGGAGCGAACAGG
rnacentral:rRNA from 1 species